rnacentral:rRNA from 1 species
UUCGCGAGGACANGCAAUCCCAUAAACCGUGGCUCAGUUCAGAUCGUAGGCUGCAACUCGCCUACGUGAAGGCGGAAUCGCUAGUAAUCGCAGGUCAGCAUACUGCGGUGAAUACGUUCCCGGGCCUUGUACACACCGCCCGUCACACCAUGGAAGUUGGCCACGCCCGAAGCCGUUACUCCAACCCUUGUGGAGGAGGACGUCGAAGGUGGGGCUGAUGACUGGGGUGAAGUCGUAACAAGGUAUCCGUACCGGAAGGUGCGGAUGGAUCACCUCCUAACA